rnacentral:rRNA from 1 species
ACUUUCAGCAGUGAGGAAGGUGGGGUAUGGUUAAUAGCAUACUCAUUUGACGUUAGCUGCAGAAGAAGCACCGGCUAACUCCGUGCCAGCAGCCGCGGUAAUACGGAGGGUGCGAGCGUUAAUCGGAAUUACUGGGCGUAAAGCGCAUGCAGGUGGUUUGUUAAGUCAGAUGUGAAAGACCCGGGGCGUCAACCUCGGAAUUGCAUUUGAAACUGGCAAACUAGAGUACUGUAGAGGGGGGUAGGAAUUUCAGGUGUAGCGGUGAAAUGCGUAGAGAUCUGAAGGAAUACCGGUGGCGAAGGCGGCCCCCUCGGACAGAUACUGACACUCAGAUGCGAAAGCGUGGGGAGCAAACAGGAUUAGAUACCCUGGUAG